AUUGAACGCUGGCGGCAGGCCUAACACAUGCAAGUCGAGCGGAGCGGCGGACGGGUGAGUAAUGCCUAGGAAUCUGCCUGGUAGUGGGGGAUAACGUCCGGAAACGGGCGCUAAUACCGCAUACUAUCAGAUGAGCCUAGGUCGGAUUAGCUGGUUGGUAGGGUAAAGGCCUACCAAGGCGACGAGCCGUAACUGGUCUGAGAGGAUGAUCAGUAACACUGGAACUGAGACACGGUCCAGACUCCUACGGGAGGCAGCAGUGGGGAAUAGUGCACAAUGGGCGCAAGCCGGAUGCAGCCAGGCCGCGUGUGUGAAGAAGGCCUUCGGGUUGUAAAGCACUUUCAGCGGGGAGGCGUUACCCGCAGAAGAAGCACCGGCUAACUCCGUGCCAGCAGCCGCGGUAAUUC
rnacentral:rRNA from 1 species